CAGGACGAACGCUGGCGGCGUGCCUAAUACAUGCAAGUCGAACGGUCUUUUCUAUGGAAGCUUGCUUCCACUGAGAAGAUAGUGGCGAACGGGUGAGUAACACGUGGGUAACCUGCCCAUAAGAGGGGGAUAACAUCCGGAAACGGGUGCUAAUACCGCAUAGUUUUCUUGAUCGCAUGAUCGGGAAAGGAAAGACGGCCUUUGUGCUGUCGCUUAUGGAUGGACCCGCGGCGUAUUAGUUAGUUGGUGAGGUAACGGCUCACCAAGACGAUGAUACGUAGCCGACCUGAGAGGGUGAUCGGCCACAUUGGGACUGAGACACGGCCCAAACUCCUACGGGAGGCAGCAGCUAAGAAUCUUCCGCAAUGGGCGAAAGCCUGACGGAGCGACGUCGCGUGAACGAAGAAGGCCGUGAGGUUGUAAAGUUCUUUUCGGGAGGGGGAACAACCGUGGCAGGGAAUGGCCGCGGGAUGACGUGAAUCCCGGAAUAAGCCCCGGCUAACUACGUGCCAGCAGCAGC
rnacentral:rRNA from 1 species